CCUAACACAUGCAAGUCGAGGGGUAACAGAGGAGCUUGCUUCUGCUGACGACCGGCGCACGGGUGAGUAACGCGUAUGCAACCUACCUUUUACAGGGAGAUAGCCCGGAGAAAUCCGGAUUAAUAUCCCAUACGAUUGUUAAGACACAAGUCUCUACAAAGAAAGCUUCGGCGGUAUUAGAUGGGCAUGCGUCCUAUUAGUUAGUUGGUAAGGUAACGGCUUACCAAGACUCCGAUAGGUAGGGGGCCUGAGAGGGUGACCCCCCACACUGGUACUGAGACACGGACCAGACUCCUACGGGAGGCAGCAGUGAGGAAUAUUGGUCAAUGGAGGCAACUCUGAACCAGCCAUGCCGCGUGCAGGAAGAAUGCCCUAUGGGUUGUAAACUGCUUUUAUUUAGGAAGAAUCCCCAGUACGUGUACUGGGUUGACGGUACUAAACGAAUAAGGACCGGCUAACUCCGUGCCAGCAGCCGCGGUAAUACGGAGGGUCCAAGCGUUAUCCGGAAUCAUUGGGUUUAAAGGGUCCGCAGGCGGGCUAUUAAGUCAGUGGUGAAAUCUCUUGGCUUAACCAAGAAAUUGCCAUUGAAACUACUAGUCUUGAAUUCGGUCGAAGUGGGCGGAAUGUGUCAUGUAGCGGUGAAAUGCAUAGAUAUGACACAGAACACCGAUAGCGAAGGCAGCUCACUAGGCCUGAAUUGACGCUCAGGGACGAAAGCGUGGGGAGCGAACAGGAUUAGAUACCCUGGUAGUCCACGCCGUAAACGAUCAUUACUCGAUAUCAGCGAUAUACAGUUGGUGUCUAAGCGAAAGUGAUAAGUA
rnacentral:rRNA from 1 species